GUGAAGCAGACAGGGCUGCAAGGAAAUCUGGAGUGGUUCAAUACCUCGUCUAGCCUGCUUUCAAGCCUGUGAUAUUCAGUGACAAACUCAUGGCUGCAUUUGUGCAACGGCACCGAAUGCCGUGCUGGCUGGGAGUGCUAUUUCUACACUAAAAUUGCCUUUCGAGCUGCAGGGAAGUUGCUCUCCUGCCUACACAGGCUACAACUUUUUUUUGGACAGACACCCAACUGCAAAAAAAGUCUGUAAUGCAACAAACAGUUCAGGACGACUCCGUCUCCUUAACUAGGUCCCGUUCUGGAGGGUGGUGACAAAACUGCUCUGAAGAGAAAAGCAACUCUACAGAGUCAUCACAAUGGGAUGUCAACGAUCAUGGCAUGUCACCAAGGCAGGAAACAAGAUUUUAAGUCAUUUUGUAAAAUUUGUAAAAGAGUUUUUCAUAUUUUCAUUUUUUUUUAAAGAUCCUUUGAAAAACAAACAUACACACAUUCAAUGGAAAAAUGGCUUCUACCUCUCGAUAACCAAGCUCAUGGCAGUCUGUUCACACAGAGUAUUUCAGGCUGGAGCUACAGAUUUUCUGAACCAAGCUGUACAUUAAGUGUUGAUUCUUAGAGCAGAAGUCUGCCAAGUGCACAUGGGUGGGUGGAGUAUUUGUGCUAGCUGAUUCGUCUGGUAUGUUUUAAGUGUAUUUUAAGGGUGUUGUGAGUUCAGCAACAUAGGUUGGAAAGAAAAAAAUAUAGCCAAAAUCUUUUUUCACUGAAUUUAUUUUGAGAAUAAGGGCAGUAUUAACUCCUAAUACAACUCUGCCACCAGAAGGUGGCCUUAGAUGUUUUCCUCUGUAAACGGGUAACCCCUGUGGUCAGAAUACAGCAUCCUUUUCGGAUUUGUAGGGGGGGGGGGGGUGGGGAUCAGCUCCUCAGGUCUACAACACUGAGGGCACCCUGACCUGAUAGGGCUUUCUGCUGUGGCCCAAGAGUGAUUCUGAACAGAAAAUGUCAGCAGUUGUGAUGUGCUCCCAAUAAGCAGAACCACAGACAGGUUGAAUGAAUUCUCUCACUCUUGAGAGGAAGCCUCAGCGUGCAGAGGUGCUGCUCAAGGGGAGACAAGUGAUGUCUUUAUAUGGACCAUGUGCCCUGGGUUCAGUGGGCAAGCAAGUUACAUAAACUGCAGGACUUCAGAUGAGGAAGCAGGCACAUGCUUUCAGGAAAGCAAAGGAAGUGGUCCAAAAGGUCACUGCUGCCCGCCUGACCCCACAUCUGAAUUACUCCUCCCCUCCUCUCUGCAACUGGCUGUUUGGAAAAUAAGAAAAUGGUGGGGCACAUGGGAUCUGGUUGGCUCAGCAGGUGUGCUAGGGCCAACUCACUGUGUAAGCCAACCUCAGGCAGCAUUUUAUUAUUAUUACUAUUACUCCUUUUCUGCAUGUUUGUCUCUUCCUCUGGUCUUAGGAGGCAUUGCUAGUGGAGAAGCAUGCCCAGACAUGCCGUGCUGGACGCUGCUAUAGCCGCUUACAUCAGUAUGAGACGUGCAGGAAAUCUCUUCCUGUAACUUGCUGUGCAGCGUGCCGGGGUACCCAUCACUGCACAAACACUCAGCAUCCACUAACCUGGCUAUUAAAAGGUCAGAAAAUACUUGGAGUUUGAUUGUAUGGGGUAAAGCAACAGCAAAAUAAGCUCCUUGGGCAAUGAAGUAAGGCAGAAGUGACGAAUUUGGAAGGCAAGGUGGAUAAUCAGUUGAUAAGGAGCUCUCAAAGAUACGCUGGGCAAAGGUGCUAAUGUGAUUCUUGGCUGUAGAAACAGGGGACUAUUGAGCAGGAGAGCUAUUAUCUCUGUAGCUGGCACUAGUGUGAGUGUUCCUGCACACGAUGUGCAAUAUUGCUGUCCAUGCUUCAAGGAAGAUGCUGAAAAUUAAGAAGAUGCCAAGAAAACCCACAAGGAAUGAUUAAAACACCAGAAAACACACUAUUUAGUGAAGGACUGAAGGAGCUCAAUCUGCUUAGUUUAUCAAAGGUUGAGCACUGACCGAUGUAAGUACCUACCAAGGAACUGGCCAACGUAUCUGAAGAAAGCUCUGCAAUCUAGCAGACAAAAAGUUAACUAGAACCACUGGCUGCAAGUUGAAGCUGGACAAAUGUAGGCUACAAAUAAAACACAAGCUUUUAAAUGAAGUAGCUAUCAACCACUGGAACAAUUUACCCAUGGCUGUGGUAGAUCCUGGAGUACUGGGAAUUUUAAAAUCCAGAUAGGCUGUUUUUCCAAAAAUUCAAGUAUAGCUAUUGAAUUUGCAGCAAGAAUUCAUAGAAGGAAGUCCAAAGGCUUGUGUUAAAUGGGAUGCCAGAGUAGAUGAUUACAGAGGUUACUCCUGGUUUUACAACCUACAAACCUACAAAGUGGGGAGAAGCUCAAUGACAUAACAGACAGAUGCUAAGAGUGAUUUAAGGGAAGAAGAAAGCCAGGGUUCAUUUCAAGUUAUACAGCUUUACUUUGAGCAUUCAGCAAAUGUAUUCAGAUAAUAGGAGGUCAUUUUGCCUUAAGACCUCCUCAACAAGCUGAAGUAAUGUUGGGUUAAAACAAUAAUUAAAUGGUAAAUUAUUCUGCACAAUUUAACAUAAAUGUACCCGUUUUCAAAAGUGUGUAUGAAGUUUAUGUGCCCAUGCACAUGAAGUUACCACCACUUUUCAUGGAAAAAUUGAUCAUCUGCAACUGAAUCAAUCAACUAAUGCAAAGCUGGCUUCCUGACACCAGUCUAGCUAGAUCAUGCUACUGCUCAUGAUAAAUACCAUUUUCACAAAGAAUCAUGUGUACACACGUAAGAGGAAGGUCCAAGGAGCUUAUUAAAUCCCAAGCCAGCAAGAAGGCAAAGGCUUGCCACAAAACAAUCCCAGGACAUGCAGGUUCUCCCAAGCUGUGCUGAUCUUUGGUAAGAAGCCAGCACAGUCCAUCAACACGAUGAAAAGGGUAUGGAGACAUCCUGGGCUUGGGACCUCUGUGUUGCAAAGACCAUUAUCUUCUGAAAACCUCUGGUUAGCCAUUUACCUCUUCUGGGAGAUUCCAACUAACGGAAAACAGUGCCUCGGGAACAAGAAAUCUGCACUUUAGAUGCAGAUGUUCAGAAUCCGGGCCGCUGGGUUCCCGUUGUCAGAUAAGGACUUGUUGCCACCUAGUGGAUUACCACUGACAAAGGCACACGUUCGGGCAGCAGACGCACUAAUUACCACUAGAUGGAGUCUUUAAAAAACAAACCACUGCUCCUUGUGCAAGGAGAAGGAUUUUGAGAGUCCCAAAGCCAAGAUUUCAAGCAGCCUAAGUGAGUUAAGCACAGAUAAUUACAUUAAUUGAACAGGAUUUGGGAACCUGACUCCCUCAGGCUCCUGAGAAAAUCCCGGCCUGACAGAGUAGGAGAGCAUCUGUACAGCGCCCUGUGCAUGGGAGGGGGGGUUAACAAUACUAGCACAGAUAAGCCACUAAAAAAUAUCUUGAGAGUAUGGGAAAUUAUGCUGGUAAAGAAAUAAUGCUGCUCUUUAUUUCACCAUCUACUCCAGGGGUGGCCAAACUGCGGCAUGCAUGCCACAAGUGAUACAGCAGCCUGCGCAUGGCAUGCAGCGGACCGAGGAGGGGGGACACCACAGUAGCUGAUAGUGCAGGGAGCAGAAAGCAGAGCAGCAGAUUGGACAUGGAGCACAGGAACAGAGUAGAAAGCAGACCCCAAAGGAUAGGGAUCGCAGUGGCACUCAGUGGGGAUGCAGGGCUAAGUUUUGGCAUCUCUGCCAAAAAAAAGUUGGGCCCCGCUAAUCUACUUUAUGGCCUUUGCUGGAGGAGAAGGGAGGGGAGGAAUCAAGGACACAACUGAUACAGCUACACCUGUAAAAAGUCUCAGCACAGGCUAGGCCUACGGUAUUUCUGUGGGAAAGGUAAGGAGAGGCAACAUCCUUAAUGGUCUUCUUCAGUAAAGAUUUAACUGCAUUGCUUUUCAGGGCUCCUACACUGAAGUAGUAUCAUUUGUCUGGCAAUCUCAGAUCAAAAAACAAAGUUGUCAGCAAUGAAGAAGUUCCACCUGGCCGUGUGAGACAAGAGAAAGGAGGUACUUACUGCCCAUGGAGCUCACGGGAAGAACAGGAGAGGAGGAACUCAUCUGCUCCACAUCUGUAGCUAAUGAGAAAGACAGACUUUAAGAAUACUCACUUCUGCCAUAAAAAUUAUAAAAUUUACACUCUGAACAAGCUGAGUUUACAUUUAAACCAUCUCUUCCCUCAUCUUUAAAGUUUCACCUUAUUUGAGGAAAACAACAUGCCAGCCUUGGCUUGUUCCUUCCCUCCACCCCUACAAUUUUGACAUAACCGUCAGAGCUACUGAAACAUGACACACGAGUAUACUUUACCGUAACGCGUGUAUAAAGACAAGUAUGUAAAAUAACACUUGAAGUUCAUCAAGUGAAAUGCUGGAACUUUCCAGACUUCAAAGUGUUCUUUGUACAGUCUGAAUAUUCUCUUGGCAGAUUUUGGUACAACAUUUAUUAUUUGCUUACUUUUAAGAAAAAAUAAAAUAUGAAGAAGGA